UUUCAGCUGACGAGUCCCAAAUAGGAGGAAACGCGAGUCCUGGAU
rnacentral:hammerhead_ribozyme from 1 species